AUGAGCAGCCAUGAGGCGCGCAAGUUCGUGGAGGAGGUGCGGGGCCUGGAGAAGAAGUGGAUGCUCGACCUCGGCCACCCGCUCCUCAACCGCGUCGCCGACAGCUUCGUCAAGGCCGCCGGGAUCGGCGCGAUACAGGCCGUCACGCGGGACUCCUACUUCAUGGCCAUGGAAGGCGAGUCUGGGGGCACCGGAGCGGUGUCGGACGCCACCGGCAGCAGGAAACGGACGUUCCCGGACCUCAGUGGAGGGACGAGCAACAGCAAGUCAGCGGAGGCCAUGGUGAAAAGCGUCAGCAAGGAGUCGUUCCAGUGGGGGCUCGCGGCCGGGAUGCACUCCGGCCUCACCUACGGCCUCGCGGAGGUGCGCGGGACCCACGACUGGAAGAGCAGCGCGGUGGCGGGCGCCGUCACCGGCGCGGCGGUCGCGCUGACCUCGGACAACGCUUCGCACGAGCGGGUUGUGCAGUGCGCCAUCACCGGCGCCGCGCUGUCCGCCGCCGCCAACGUGCUCUCCGACAUAGUUUAG
rnacentral:rRNA from 1 species